UCUAAAGGUGAUGAAAACGAAGCUGGUGCAGGUGCUGAUAAUGCUGCUGCUUACAACGGUAAUUUGGUUCGUAGAGUGUUGACUGGAAGUGGGACCCCUUUAAAGCCCAAUGAACCUCUUGACGUGUUUUUGUUUGCUUUGUUUAAUGAGAAUCAGAAGCCCGGCCCCACUUCUGAAAGGAACUACGGGCUUUUCUAUCCUAAUGAACAGAAAGUUUACGACAUUACGCUUACAAAGGAUGGUUUGGGGAAUGGGCCCACCAUGAAUAACGGGAGUAAAAGCACGGUGGUGACUGCGCCGGAGCCGGCUUUGGAGGCGAGUAAGGUGGGGAACACGUGGUGCGUGGCCAAUGAGAA
rnacentral:lncRNA from 1 species